GACACUGCUGGGGCAGGAAAAGUCCCUGGAAAAGCCAGGUGAGACAGCGGUGGUGGGAGAGAGACCCUCCGGAGAGCGUGGGUGGGGGAAGGACGUGGCUGGGGACAAUGUGGCAGCUACAGGCACGGGCAGCCCUUUCUGCAGGGGCUUUCUGCACACCGAAGGAAGGGCACAAGCAGCCCCCAGCCUCCCUGAGCAUCUCUGUCGCGACAUCCAGAAGGGCAGAGGAGCACGAGGGAGGUGCUGGAGGCACCGGGGAAACCCCAGCGGCUUUCUCCGGGCUCCCAAAGGCAGAAGGGACGAGUGCUGGGAGGAUUUUAACACCCGCCAGAGCCUUUUCGUUGGCUCCUGUGCUGUACCGAGGAUUUGGGGAUUUGAGCUGGGGUGGAGCGAGUAUUAAUUUGGAUUAUUGGGAUAUUAGCUUGAAUAUUAGCUGCCUUACAGAGGAUAAGCUUUGUGGCGGUCAGUUUCGUAGAUGCACAACUACCCGGCAGCCUCCGCAUUAAAGCAGCAACAAAUUGCUCGAGAAGGGCAGGGGAAGGCUAAGUAACAGAAAAGACGAGUGUCUUACCUGGCAUGGUGCAGAGAAGAGCCAAAACUCACCCGCCACAAGGCCACCCAUGGCCUCCAUAAUAGUCUCCUGUGCUUUUCAGAGCUAAUUUUAAACCCAGGGUUUGCACAGCAGUCGCCUGUAAUUCACUGCUGCUUUAUUUCCUGUCUCGCUGCUGUGCAGAGGUUUCGCUCUUAACACAAAAAAACUGAAGGGAAAUUCCCUGCCCCAAUUUUUUCUGUUACUGAUCUUUUUCAGUUGCGACGCGCCGAGCCCGAUGUCACGCCGCAGCUACCCGGCUGGGGGAAGGAGGGCCCCCCCCAAGAGCACAAUGGAGAUGGACAAAAUAUUCCUCCAGCUGUGUGAGGAGGUUACCAGGCUGCAGGAUCUGUGUGCGAAGCAGGGCAAGCUCCUCCAGAAGCUGACUGCCAGGAAGGGCCCUGUCCUCGAUAUCCCCAUGUCGCUGCCGGUCCAGUGCACGGAGGACAUGGCCACGGAGGAAGGGGAAAGGCCACCGGGCAGCCCACAGAAGUGCUCCGAGGCCCCGGAGGGCUCUGCCCACCCCCUGGUGCAGCCGCACGCUGCCGACGUGCCCGGCUUCGACAGCAGCUACCCACCGAGUGCCCCAAACGGCAGCGUCUUCGACGGCGGGGCUGGCAGAGCAGCUCUUGCUGUGGCUUUUGGCAGCAACAAGGCAGAGAGAAGUGAGAAGAUGGAUCUAGACACGUGGCUGAAGAACUGCAGGAUGCCUCCUGUCGUGAAUAGCCCCGAGGAAGGAGUGAGAGCUUGCUGCAGCCCGCAGGAGUUCGUGGCACCAAAUGCCGAGGCUGUGGACUCCUUCCUGACUCUCUUGGACCUUUACAAAGGCCCAGAAGCCCUUCAGAAGGAAGAUGCUCCCAGUGAAAGUGCUCCGGCUGCUGAGGAAAAGGUGCCAGUAGAGAUCCGAGGACCCAUGAAGACGUCCUGGACACCAGGCUGGAUGCUGGAGGAUGCUCCGCUCGGGCAAGGUGACGUCCUCACCUCCGAGGCCGCUCAGACUUAUGACAUUUGCCAGGCGAUUUUCCCCUCGGAUGCGGCAGCCCAAGCAGACUAUUUAAAGGAAGUCUUAACCCAUAUGAAGUAGGACUUUCCACUCGUAAACCUGCGUAUUUGCACCGCGACCACGAUGGGCUCUGGACCUUCAUGAGAUCCUGCUGCUGGAUCAGCUCAGGCAGCAAUCCUGUUCCGAGUAAUCCGGCGUGCUCCCAAACUGGUGCUCCCGUCCCUUGUGCCCUGCUGGAUGGGCCGGCUGGGGGCUCGGGGUGUGUUUUGGCUUUUUGAGCUUUGUGGAUAUCAAAGCAGCUUCUGUGCCAGAGGCUGGAGGUGUGUGGGGGAUGUGGGGAGCUGUAACUCAACGGGAAAUGAACAUUUUUCAAAAUUCUCCAUAACCACAAAGGUUGAAAUACUUUUUCUGUAAAUAGAGACAUUUGAAAAGCUUUGGCUUUUUAUGAGAAGUCUCAGCUCGGAGCACAGUUCAUCUUCAUGCGGAUGCUUGGGUGGCUCCAUGAGCAGGAUCAGGCCCUUGUUUGGCUGGAGGUCAAAGUGGGUUUUCUCCCAUCAUGGUGCAACCUCCCCGUUUGCAUCUCCAGCUCCAAGUUUUAUCCCAUGGCUCCUCAAAUUAAUUAGAUUGUGGCAUGACUUUAUAGUGUUUUGUGCUCUUGUUUAGAACCUGGAAGAAUAUAUCUGUUUCCAACAUGCUAAGUUACUGGAAGCACCAGCUCAAACAGAGAGCCAGAGCAAGAAGGGCCAUAAAUUUAUUUGGUAUAAAAUUGUAACAGCCAUCCAAAACUUGCCGGAAGGAAGAAAACCAUCCCAGUUCCUCCUGCUCUAAGAGCAAGUCCAGUAAAUUUAAUUUAAAAAUCCCAGGCACAGAUGGCUUUUCUCAAGAGUAAAAGCAGUCGUGGCACACUGGUUUCCAUGAGCUGUGCUCUGAAAUGAGCCACGCGUGUGUCUGUGCGUGGCAUUGCACGAAAUGACACAAAAAAAUCACACCGGGCGCAUUUGGGGUCACCCAUCCCCAAAUUUCAGCGUGAUGCUCCGCCUGCGCUCCAUCCCUGGUGACUCAGGCCGUUUGAGCUGUCCAA
rnacentral:lncRNA from 1 species